GGCUGAGCGUGGAGUGCCACUCUUCCACUGGCUGCCCCGCGCCCCUCGGCCGCCGCUCCGUCCGGGCAGUGCUAACAGUAGUGUAAAUAUUCACAUCAAGGCCGGGCCGGUUGGAGGACGCCGCCUGGGCCUCGCUCCCAUAAAUUACACCUCUGGGCUGACGUCACACGAGGCUUGUAUUGUCCGCUCGUGCCGCGUGGCUUGUGCCCUUUAGGCCUUCCCUCAAUGGGUUUCGCGUCCCACGGCCGAGGAGGAGGAAUGAAAUAGAGGUAUGGGCGCCUGCCCGGACCCUUCAUGGCCGCUGAGUUAGGACACAUUCAGGCGCACGCGGGUACGGUGGGAUAAGCCCUUUCAGUCAGUCGUUGCUUCUAACAGGUAGAUGCCCUGAAGGCUCCUUGCGUCUCACACCACCUACAGGUAGAAAGGAACGGAGAUUUCGUCCCGCCAGGGUCCUUGUCUGUCCCGGCUGAUCCUCCGUCAGGAAGGGAGACGGCCUGGAAUGAUGCACCGUGUCCGGCGGAGCCUCGGCGGCCGUGCUGGGCUAGCGGAGGGAUCUGCGAUUUGUAUUAAAAUAUUCCGCGGGCCAAUGGUAGCGGAGAGCGGGCGGUCGACCCAAUCACAACUGAGCAGGCCUGUGGGUACCGGGGCCCAGGUCCAGCAGCCUGGUGUGAGUUGCCGGGCUUUUCCAGACCUGCAACGAUGUCUGCCUCUAAUGUGUCUGAAAGGAGGAGCUGUGGUGGAUGAUGUGGUGCCUUGACUGACGAGUGAUCGGCAUCGGUUCUGGAGGAGCGUGGGGGAUUGUGCUGCGAGGGUCUGGAGAGCACCACAAUGUAUUUUGGUCAAACGAUGCCCAUUGAUGUACAGGUGCGAUUCCCACCCCAGCCAGACGUAAGAGCAGGCAGACCUCCACAUCCACGGCCAGACUUCGAUCAUGAAACUCGUUUGAAUGUUUUGGCCUCGGGCAGUGCUCAGGCACCACUUUGACAUCCUGCAAACUCGUCACCUGUCUCUCCUUUUCUUGGCAACACAGGGUGAUGAUGCAAUGAGGAGGAGAUCCUUGGGCAUGGGUCUGGAGCAGUGAGCGAAACAGUACGAUACUUUGGGCGGGAGGCAUCUGGUGGGCACUGGUUGAUGAAGUCCACUAUGUUUAGUAGCCAGUGGGCCAAACCAGCAUAGCAUUUACGGAACCUCAGGUGACCGCUGUGGAGGAGGAAGCUGCCCGCCAACGCCACCACCACUGGUUCUUCCAAAGUUCCUAAGAUAAUAUUCCCUGCGCAGCUCCUCCUCCUCCCUUCCUCUAUGCUGGUGUUGGCCCGUGGCACUGGCGCAUUCAAGCUGUGAUAAUUACCACUUAGUUAAUGGUUCACGUGGAGGUUUAUCAUGCAUGUCACAAGGCGGUGAUCUGUACCAUUAUGAGCCUUGCCAGGACACUGUCGCCCUGGAGUGUACACGCCUCUUCACCCUGGACGGGAGCCGCCAGCCCCUAGUUAGCACCAUGACCGCGACCAGCGUCAUUAUGGAGCUAUCCAGUCCGGCCAAGCGCAAAAAAUCCGGCAGCGAGGACCUGACGGGGCAAGCUGCUGUCAAUGCACGGUAAGAGAUGUUUGCGUUGAGUAUGGAGGAGGCGAGGCGAGGGCGUGAGAAAGGUAAGCUUUUGGAAGGCAGCCAUGUGAGAGAAAUACUCGUAUAUAGGAAAUUAUCACCACGCUUCUGUAGAAACAUUCCCUUCACUGAUAUUUUGUAUUCUGUGAGGUUUUGAAUUUGCUGAGUUAUGUCUGACUUGAGUACGGAAGAGUAUGGAAGACAACAGUGUAAGAAAAUAUAUAGAAAAUUAUUAUCACGCUUCUGUAGGAACAUCUGUUUCACUCUUUUUUUUUUUAUAUAUAUUAUGUGGGGUUUCCAAUAUGCUAUUUUUUUUAUUAUUAUUUUCACUAAGCUUCCAGUAUUAGCAAGUGACAUCUCAAGGUGACUCGUUAAGAAACUCAGAAACUCUCAGGACAUCAUUUUAACCACCACCACCUCUGUUCAAAGCCGGAAACUGAUAAGGAAGAGUCACUUAAAGGAUUACAAAACGUGAUUGAAGAUUUUAACAAGUUUAGCCCCAGAAAAAAAUAAAUAAAUAUUAAAAGAAAAUUAUUUACUAUCUAACCUAUUCAUUUUAUUUUUUUUUUUCCUUCUUUUUCCUGCACCCAAACAACAUUUCAACUUGGCACACGAAGGGGGAGGGAAGCCACGUCCCCUUGACCAUUAUUUCCAUCGCUAGUGAGACACGCGAAAGAAUAUACACCGCCUCACUCGCAUCACUUAACCUCGACAACUUCGUGGCCAACAGGCAAUUAGGCUGUACUCCAGGUAACUUGACCCCGGAAGCCGCGUCUCUUUAACUCUUGUGACGUGAAACCUUGUCGGGCCGUCGAUGAUAUAGGCGAUAAUUCAUUAAGAUUCCCCUGCAGAGUAAGUGAGCGCACCUUGUCUUUUCCCUACGCCCGCUGUUUAAUUAGCAUCAGGUGAGGCUCCCACUUGACGCGGCCAGGUAUUUCAGCACCGGCCACCUGGAAUGUUAUAUAAAAAAGAAGGUGGUAUAUUUUGUCCUUCGUGAAGUUUUUGGUGGUGGUGGUGGUGGUAUAGUAGCUAGUGGUUGGCUCCGUCUCAAAUCUUGUCAUCCAUUUUACUUGUCGUUUUAAACAAAUCGUCUUAAAAUGUUUAUAGAAUAUAGACUUAUGUUGUUAAAGAGAUAACUUUGCAUACUGCUACCCUCCACUAUUUUGCUUAUACUUUUAAAACAAACUUUUCCUCAUGGGUGUAAAAAUAAAGGAAACUAACCUGCUGUGACUAACUUUUCAUCUACUUGAUAAAAAAAAAAUCCUGUAAGUUUUUUUUUUAUUCACAGUGGUAAUACGUCACCCGAUCACAAAACUAAAUCGUCCUUAAAAAAAAAAAAAUCAUAAGAGCAAAGACUGACUGACUGACUCAUUCACUGCCUUAACUUUACAUAUAUCAUAUUAAAUAUCCUGUGAGUUUUUUUUCAAUUCACAGUAAAAAAUACAUCAACCGAUCACAAAACUAAAUCAUCCUUUAAAGAAAAAAAUCAUAAGAGCAAAGACUGACUGACUGGCUGAUUCACUGCCUUAAUUUUCCGUCUACCUUAUACAUUCCUGCCGUGCUUCCCAAUUACCACCAAGGAAUUAGAGUAUCACCCUAUCGACACCACACCGCCUGGGAACACAAGGGAGGGGGGGGGAACGGGUGCAUCGGGGUCUCUGUUGCUGGCGGUGGGUGAUACGGUGGCAGGAGACAAUCUUGAUGCGCCUAAUGACCCGACUGUCCACUCAGCGAAUCCACCACAGGCGCGAGCGGGCCUGGAUGGUUGCGUGUGAUUUGGAUCUUGGAUAAAAUUGCUGUACGGUCGUUUUUCUUACUUACACGAAUGAGUUACGGCCAUUUGGCGCCUAGCAGGGGAGUAACUAUGGUAU